rnacentral:lncRNA from 1 species
CUUUUAGGGCCGCGCCUGUGGCAUAUGGAGGUUCCCUGGCUAGGAUCUAAUCAGAGCUGUUGCUGCCCUCCUACACCACAGCCACAGCAAUGCCAGAUCUGUGCCGCGUCUGUGACCUACACCACAGCUCAUGGCAACGCCAGGUCCUUAACCCACUGAGCAAGGCCAGGGAUCAAACACGCAACCUCAUGGUUCCUAGUCGGAUUCGUUUCCGCUGAGCCACGAUGGGAACUCCUGGAUGGCUACUUUCGAUUGGGUAGUGAAGGAAGGCUUCUGGAGGUGGUGAUGUUAUUUUGAGAUCUAAAUGGCAACAAAGAGCCAUCAAAGGGUUUGUUUGCGUGAGGGAGGGAAGGCCAGGGAUUGAAUGCAGAGGGAAUCCAAGGUGUGACCUCCAGAAAAGACCCCAAGGAGUGAGCAAGCACUUUCUGCUCUAGAGACAGUAAGUCAGGAGACGGCUAGAAAGCAGUGAUCAAAGAGGAGAGAGGGACGAGAAGAGGCUGGACAGGUGGGAGGGGCCAGGCCAGGUGGGACUCUGCGUCAGCAUAGUUUGGGUUUCAUACCCAGUGAAUCGUCAAACCAUGUGAGGUUUCAAGCAGGGAUUGUCGUGGUCUGGUGUACAUUUUAGAAAGACCGUUCUAUACUCAGAGGUAUCCAGACAAAGCCUCGCCCUGAUGGACAUGGCCUAUAUCUCCAUGGUCAAAUGCAACAGCCAGUGGCCACAGGUGGCUACUAGGCACUUGACAGGUGGACAGGGUGACUGAGAAACUAAAUUUUAAAUUUUAUUCUAUUUGAAUUAAUUUAAUUACCUACACAGAGCUGGUAGCUACUGUGUGGGUCCACAUACCUUAAUUGCAUGGAGAAUACGAUUAACUCUGGAGCAACACAGGAGUAAGGGGCUAUGAUCCUACGACCCUCCACACAGUUGUAACUCUGCAUAGAACUUCUAGUUGGCCCUCUGCAUCCUUGGUGCCUUUGUAUCCCGGGUGGGUCCGUAUCCACAGUUCUGCAUUAGUGGACUCAACCAUGACCGACCACUACUGAUAUAUUCACUACCGGGAAAAAAAUCGACCUCUCAGUGGACCCUCACAGUUCAAACUCGUGUUGUUCAAGGGUCAACUGUAAUUAUAUGAGGCCAAGAGAGGACGCAUAAAGAUGACUCAGGAGGCUCUUACAGCGGUUGGUGGUGGUGGUGGGGUGAUUGACAGCAGGGGGAAGAUAUGGAGGAAAGUGGCGAGCUGGGACUAUCUCUUAGGAUGGAGCCAGGAGGGUGAGCAGAGAAAAUGGGAAGCAAGGAGCCAGAGAUGCUCCUGGACUUUUUGUUUGAGCAACAGAGUGGAUGGGGGCGCCACUUUGAUAUGAGGAAGGUUAAGGAAGAAGCAAGUUUAGGGAAGGAAACAAAAACUCAACAAUUACCACGCAAAAAAAAAAACUUGUUCCUCCCAGCUUGUCCUGUAGCAAGUUACUCUGGACAUUUGGACCUUCAAUGUCAGCUCCAAUGUCACCAACUCUGGGGCAGCACGUAAGACUCACCCCACUCCAUCUCUCGUGCGCUCCCCUAUGUGGUCCUGUCACUUUCUUUUCUGCAUUUAAAUAUCUGCAAUUAUUUGAUCAUUUGACUAAUGCACUGCCUCCCUCUUCUCUAAACUGGAAACUCUCUUCUUAUGGGUCCUCAGCCCCCACACUUGCCUGACACGGUACCUGGCAAAGAGCAGGUACUUAAAUAUGUAUUUUGAAUUAAUUAAAAAGACAAGGACAAAUACCUUUAUUUUGGGGCGGGGGAAAAGACUGGCUGAAGCCACAAGGGUAUGUUUCCAGGGUGAAUCUGUGUGUCUCAAAAUAAAUAAAAUAGUAGAAAAAAAUAGUAAAAAGCAAUGUGUACUCACACACCUGGUAUAAAUGGAUAAAUUCUGUUUGGGUUUAUUAACCUGUACCCCUUUCAUAUAGAAAACGGAAUAUCAUUUCCAGGUAAUAAUCACCUCCUCUGACAGGUACAAAAGUGAGACGCAAGACAUGAUUCCCAGUUCUAUGGUCUUAUUUCUCAUCCAGAGUUACUGAGGAGGGCAGAGGGUGUGAAAAAUGAAAACAAGGUAAUGUCAGGCUGCCAUCUUUUUUUUUUUUUUUUUUUUUUACUGUGCAAUUGUGACAAAGUCAAGGAGCCUCUCUGGUCUCCACUCCCCAACCCCCUGCCCUGCUGCAUACACCCGGUGACCCUCUACUCUCUAUCAACCAAGACCUCGAGACAUAGUCUCACCAACUUCAGCAAAGUCAUAUGACCCCCACAUUUUUGAGCAGACCUUUACCUUUCAGUCUGGCAAGCAGGAAUUGCACACAACUUUGGUAUUAUUUCCCACAUUCUCCUUUCCUCGCAGACCUAAUUCUCUCUAUAAAUGCACUGCACCCAACGCACACACUCAUGCACAAUGCCACACCCACAGCCACAUGCAGAGCUCUCUGCAGCUUCCUUCACUCUGCACUGACUCAACAGUCGUGAGAACACAUUUCUUUUUCCUCUUCACAGGCUCCCGAAAUGAGAUCGUUUCUGCUAAAAGCAAUCCUAAGCGCUGGGUGAACAACUCCAGAAAAUUAGUACAAGUUCCACUAAGGCUGGAGAUGGAAAGGAAAAAAUUCUGUUCAAUUUUGACUGUAUUCACAUUACCCACAACAGGGAACACGCCUCUCAUUCUUCUCGCUAAUUCCAGUUCUUCCCAAAAAUUAAAACAGAAGCUAUUCCCGGCACCACCCGAUAUGGUCAUUUCUGUUUGCCAUCAGUAAUCACUCCACAUCAAGAAUUCUCCUCACUUUUGGAAGCAUGAUUCCUCAUCAGAGCUACUGCAACAUCUCGAUUUCCAAUGGAAAUUAUGGACAACAUUAAAAAGAGAGAGAGAGAGUGCUAGAAUGUAUUAAAGAUUUAACCAUGAGUCAUUACAGACAUUGAAAGAAGGUGUAUUUGUGCCAGCCCUGAGCCGGAUAUAUAGAUAUUCUGAACAAGGAAAUAAUUUGAGGACUAUCUGAUCCAGAAUAAAGGACAAGAAGCAGAAAAUAUCAGAUAUGGAAAACAAUACUGUUUACUAUUGAUCUGAAAAUAACUGAAAUGAAUAAUUGUUCUAUCUAAUAUCCACUGCGCUUUGACACAGCAAUUCGAAGCUAUUUUUGCAAAGAGUUUUUAAUAGCAUGAGGAAAGUGCACAUUAUAUGGUCAAAUGAAAAAGAAAGGAAGAUGCAUGAUAAUACAUACAACAUGAUUUCAAUUAUAUGAAAAUGCACAGAUAACCCUAAAGGGAAAAUACACAAAAAUACUAACCAUGGUUAUCAUUGGGUAGGUCAAAAAAUACAUGCAUCCUUGUUUUCCUAGUCCUACUUUUCCACUUCCGAAUUUUGUGAAGUAGGUACACAGUAAUUUUUAACAAAACCUUUUAAAUUCAGAAAAUAUUUAUUUGAAAAUAAAGUUGAUCUAAAAUGCAUUAACUCUUUCGGUUUUGUGAAAAAGUUUUCUGUAAAAGCUUUUGUCCAAGUGUCCUUGUGGCCAUAUGAUGUUUGAGGAAACAAGACAGAAUUGCCCCAGAGCCCAAUACCUAACCUCAAGUUCAAGGGGAGCUGGCUAAGGAUCUAGCCAACACUGUCUUAGGGGAGCUAUGGUGGAAUGGGGAGUCUGGCAGCCUGGCUUGUCCCCCCAGGGAGCCCAAGGGAAUCCACACAGAAGGCUACAGUAUCCACAAUUAUCAGUUCAAUGCACCAAAAACAGGCAGGGGGUGCUGACUUAGAUAUGAUCAUAAAGCACUUGGUCUUUCCUGCCCUUCAUUUCAUGCAGUCUCUCCUCCUCUACAAACAAAAUC